rnacentral:rRNA from 1 species
UACGUAGGGCGCAAGCGUUGUCCGGAAUUAUUGGGCGUAAAGAGCUCGUAGGCGGCUUGUCGCGUCGACUGUGAAAACCCGCGGCUUAACUGCGGGACUGCAGUCGAUACGGGCAGGCUAGAGUUCGGUAGGGGAGACUGGAAUUCCUGGUGUAGCGGUGGAAUGCGCAGAUAUCAGGAGGAACACCGGUGGCGAAGGCGGGUCUCUGGGCAGUAACUGACGCUGGGGAGCGAAAGCGUGGGGAGCGAACAGG